UUAAUGCUAAACAAAAUCAUUUUUUGUUUGAUGCGAAAUUAUUAGUGGAUUUUAUUAUGGUUUUUUCUAUCACUGUUGCCACUGUUUAUGAUUAUGUAUAUCCUUUUCCAAAAUCCAAAAAUUUGCUUAUAACAUGUGUUUCAAUAUAUUACAUUUUUUGUCCUAUUUAUUAUUAUCUUUAUUAUUGUAUUAUUGGCGACAUUGUUUACGAAGGAACAAGCCCAGACUGUGCUUGUCGUCGUCCUGAUAUUCAGUACAGAGUUUCCAUUAAAUCUCAAAAAUAUUCUUCAAUUUUUCUGAUCAAAAUUCAAGGACGUUAUAAACAGAAGUUAUUGUGGAAUGAAGUAAGUAAUACUGUAAGCUAUUCGGAAUGGUUUGACACUAACGGAAUGAUUCUGGA